rnacentral:rRNA from 1 species
CUCCCAAACCCCUGUGAACAUACCAAUUGUUGCCUCGGCGGAUCAGCCCGCUCCCGGUAAAACGGGACGGCCCGCCAGAGGACCCCUAAACUCUGUUUCUAUAUGUAACUUCUGAGUAAAACCAUAAAUAAAUCAAAACUUUCAACAACGGAUCUCUUGGUUCUGGCAUCGAUGAAGAACGCAGCAAAAUGCGAUAAGUAAUGUGAAUUGCAGAAUUCAGUGAAUCAUCGAAUCUUUGAACGCACAUUGCGCCCGCCAGUAUUCUGGCGGGCAUGCCUGUUCGAGCGUCAUUUCGACCCUCAAGCCCUCGGGUUUGGUGUUGGGGAUCGGCGAGCCCUUGCGGCAAGCCGGCCCCGAAAUCUAGUGGCGGUCUCGCUGCAGCUUCCAUUGCGUAGUAGUAAAACCCUCGCAACUGGUACGCGGCGCGGCCAAGCCGUUAAACCCCCAACUUCUGAAUGUUGACCUCGGAUCAGGUAGGAAUACCCGCUGAACUUAAGCUAAUCAAUAAGCGGAGGAAA